rnacentral:rRNA from 1 species
CAGUAGCCGCGGUAAUACGAAGGGGGCUAGCGUUACUCGGAAUUACUGGGCGUAAAGGGCGCGUAGGCGGCACGAUUAGUCAGGCGUGAAAUUCCUGGGCUCAACCUGGGGACUGCGCUUGAUACGGUCGAGCUAGAGGAUGGAAGAGGGUUGUGGAAUUCCCAGUGUAGAGGUGAAAUUCGUAGAUAUUGGGAAGAACACCGGUGGCGAAGGCGGCAACCUGGUCCAUUACUGACGCUGAGGCGCGACAGCGUGGGGAGCAAACAGGAUUAGAUACCCGCGUAGUCCCUGUCUCUUAUAC